rnacentral:tRNA from 1 species
GAUUCAGUAACACUCGGUAGAGCAGCGCCCUUUUAAGGCGUUGGUUCCGGGUUCGAGUCCCGGCCGACCCA